CCCCACCUCCCAGAGCACAUCUAUAAACACCUAAGUUCCAGACAGGAGCUCCAAGCAUGGGCUCUUUUUCUUGGAGGUAACACGUGCCUGCGGUUCUCAGUAGGAGAGCCUUCAGGAAGGCUUGGUUGGGGUGUAGGGAGAAGGAGAGAGAAAUCUAUGCCUGCUUUUCAGUCCUAACAUCUCUAACGUGUACACUGAUGGCAAAGUAAGAGCUGAUCCAAUUCCUGCACUUCCUAUAAAAUAACUCCUUGUGAUUUACCUAGAGUUCCAAGAAGAUUUUCUUAAAUCUGGAAAGUAAGUGUGAAAGAAGACUGAGCCAACUCUCAGUUCUAGACAGUAACAUUGCUACUGUACCAACAGCUCAGUCGGUGCACUGAAACAACAGUACCACACAAGUUAAUGGGCUACCACCUGGACUCUUUACCACACUGCAACACUUACUUAUAUGGAAAUCAGUUGUUGAAAAAUAUCUUAAUGCAGUCACAGCAAUGUCAGAAGCAUUACACCUUAAAAGAAGUCAAAUUAUUUCUGUGCCCUCUCUCAUAGUACAAGAACCGUAACAACUUACAUUGACCCUUCCAUGGGGGCAGUUAUGUAUUUGUCAAGUCAGUAUUUGUGUUCCUGAUAGAGAAUAGGUAAGUGUAGGGAAAUCCUCAAAAAUGUAGAGGAGAGAGUUGUCUCUGCACAAACUUGCACCAGUUUUGUUAAGCCUGUGCAACUCACUUUACAGCAAUUCUCACUGCAUUUGGAAGAGGCUUGUUUCUAUUUAGCUUGAGCCCAUUUAAAUUAAACCGGAAUAAGCAGAGUCACCCAGCCUUUUGCACUAGGACAGUUAGGUUGGGUUAAAAAAAAUCAUGUUAAGUGGGUGCAACUACAUGUAGACAAGCCCAGAGAUUACCAUGGAGAAGAAAGUGAGAAGAAGAACAGAAGGAAAAAAAGAAAAGAAAAAAACAACAGCUGCAGGAAUAGGCACAUGUGGAAGGAAUAUCUUUCAUUCCACCUCCUCAAUAAUCUUGCUGUCUAGUCUGAUUUGACAUAUUUCUAGGUCCAAGCCAAGUUCCUGUCUCAUUCCACCAGUGGUUCUUUUUAUCUCCAGCUUUCUGAUUCUGCCCAUCAUUUUAAAACGGGUAGGUUGUUUUUGGUUUUGAUGCAAGUCGAGACUGUUAGGUAGUGGUCUGGGAUGUCGUUUUCAACGUACGGUAAGAUGAUUCAGUUAAUUUCAUCCUUCCAUUGACUCCCAGCAGCUCUAGUUAUGCAGCAUCCUCAAAGGAAACUCUUUUGGACCCUUGAAAUCAUUAUUCAUUUAUUGCUGGUGAGUGUGUAUAGCUACAUAAGAAAUACACUCUUGGAAGAUGCUGUGACCAAGCCCAAAACAAUCUUUGCGGCAUCUAUGGCAGCAUACUUAAACAUACACAAAACUUAUAAAUAGCAUAGACUACAGUUACCAGGACAGGUGGAGACCGGUGAGGCGAUACAGAAAAAGAAUCUAACCAUCAAACACAUCACCGUCAGGCACGACCAAAUUAUUACAAAACUUGUGAGUGUACUGACUGCUUGCAGGCCAGGUUCUCUGUGGCAUCCUGCCAGGAAGUUUUCAGGGAACCGAGAUGCCCUGACUCUCCCAGGCCCAGCUAGGGCACCCUUUAGGCUGCUCCAGUUUACACGAGGGUCUGUGCACUGGCCAGAGACAGGUGUAGUAAAUAUGUUCCAGCUAGUUCUCCUCCUGCCUUGACAUGCCGCCUGUGCCAGGUCCAUGGGGAGGGAGGCACAAGAAAUGCUAAGUUAGCUCUAUGCCCUCUUGCAAGAAGUAUUUGCAAACUGUUUCUGCUUCUUUUAUGCUGCCUGAGAGGAGAACAAGGAAUCUGCAGUGUGCAGAGGGAUGGAUUUUUAUCCCAGUACUGUGGCUAUCUAGGAGUACUGUGUCUUGGGACCCCCUCGCUCAAAUUACUUCGGACUUGGAGUAUCCUGCAACCCAGCAAAGCACAGCGAUUCUCAAGGCCCAAAUAUCCGAGAGGACUUAGACAAAAAAAAAA